UACAGAGGGUGCGAGCGUUAAUCGGAAUUACUGGGCGUAAAGCGCACGUAGGCGGCUUGGUAUGUCGGGCGUGAAAUCCCCGGGCUCAACCUGGGAACUGCAUCCGAAACUGCCUUGCUAGAGUAUGGGAGAGGGAAGUGGAAUUUCCGGUGUAGCGGUGAAAUGCGUAGAUAUCGGAAGGAACAUCAGUGGCGAAGGCGACUUCCUGGACCAAUACUGACGCUCAGGUGCGAAAGCGUGGGGAGCAAACAGG
rnacentral:rRNA from 1 species